AAUUCUAGCCUUGUCGGUGGAUCACUCGGCUCAUGGUUCGAUGAAGAACGCGGCCAACUGCGAUAAGUAGUGUGAACUGCAGAAACAUUGAAUACAAAAAUUUCGAAUGCACAUUGCGCCAUAGGAUAAUUGUCCUUUGGCACGUCUGGUUCAGAGUCGUUU
rnacentral:rRNA from 1 species